AGUGAACGCUGGCGGUAGGCCUAACACAUGCAAGUCGAACGGCAGCACAGUAAGAGCCUGCUCUUACGGGUGGCGAGUGGCGGACGGGUGAGGAAUACAUCGGAAUCUACUUUUUCGUGGGGGAUAACGUAGGGAAACUUACGCUAAUACCGCAUACGACCUACGGGUGAAAGCAGGGGAUCUUCGGACCUUGCGCGAUUGAAUGAGCCGAUGUCGGAUUAGCUAGCUGGCGGGGUAAAGGCCCACCAAGGCGACGAUCCGUAGCUGGUCUGAGAGGAUGAUCAGCCACACUGGAACUGAGACACGGUCCAGACUCCUACGGGAGGCAGCAGUGGGGAAUAUUGGACAAUGGGCGCAAGCCUGAUCCAGCCAUACCGCGUGGGUGAAGAAGGCCUUCGGGUUGUAAAGCCCUUUUGUUGGGAAAGAAAAGCAGCAGGUUAAUACCCCGCUGUUCUGACGGUACCCAAAGAAUAAGCACCGGCUAACUUCGUG
rnacentral:rRNA from 1 species